GCGGGAGCGGGCUGGAUUACCAUGAAGUGCUCCUAAUUUGCACAGAGAGAUAAGGAGCUCAUCAUAACUGAGAGAGGGGGACUGUUAUUUCCAAGCAGCUGCGGCAGGCUGGUCCUAGGCUUGCUCAGCCUGCAGUCUGGGCUCCUGCUGCUGAAGGGACAGAAGGCGGAUGUUGGGAAGAACUUCCUAAGGAAGCAUCAAGAGGGGCCUGUGCGAUCCUAGCCUCAGGUGGCCUUUAGGGAGGGGCUCUGCCCAAAGUCCCCUUUCUGGGCCCUGAGCCUCAGUAGACCCUAGCUUUGGGAGGUUGACUGACCUGAUAGGGAGGGACAAGUUGCUGAACUUUCUCAGGCUUGGAUGGAGCUCAAGUGGGCAGCAGAGAGGUCUAGGGCACUUCAUUCUGGUGGGACAAGCUCCUGGCAUCUGAGCAAGAUGAGAAGACUGAGGCUGAAGAGGUGGCGCAGGGUCACACAGAGCAGGGAUCGGAACCACAGCCGGCUGACGCCAGCUCCCUGGGUUCUGGACCGCUUGGGAUGUCAGUGAGUCCACCUACUCUGGCGAGGCCUGUGCUGGGCUCCGGAGAAGAGCCGUGAGCAGGGCAGAUGCGGUCCUGGCUCGCUCAGACCUUCGGCAAUCUGGCGUGGGUGAGGUAGCCUUGGGGACUCAGGUGGCUUUGCGGGUCCCUGAGCGACUGCUGGCGAGGGUGGGGUCAGGAAGGGGGCGUGCCCAGCACUUCCGCCUUCAGUGUCCCCGCUGCUAGCGUUUUUUUGCCCCGUAAGUAAGUAAUUGUGUGUAAGGCAAUUUUGCCCUAAAAGGAUGAGAAGAUAACUGGUUGAUGGUUUGAUCUGACAGUUUGUUUUCAUUUCUCCGCGGACCCAGUCCCCCCAUGUUUAUACCACAGAGAUCUCAGCCCUCAUGAUCGUCUGGAUUGUUGGGCAGAGUUUGAACUCACAUCUGCCAGACAGCUUUGGAGCUUUGUCAAGGGACGUGCGACAAUAUCCCAAGAACAAACAACAGCGCAGAAGGCUUUCAUGUUGCAAUGCGAACCUCAUUUGCAAACACGCAUCCUAGUUUUUGGAAACGGGUUUUUCUCCUAGGAAGGAAGAAAUUUUAGGGAGAAUCGAAGGCGUGUGACGCUGCACAGAACGAUGAACCCACAGGCAAAGAGACAUGUGCAAUACUCCGACCCAAAGGCUCCGAAGACAAGUGUGAAGGUACAAUCCACCAAAUAAAACCAGCUAUUCGCACCGCAUUGCUAUGGAUUUGCAGGGCACAAGGCUGGUGUGUACAUCUAAGGUGGCACCAGAAGUCACGGAUCCAUGUACAUCAACUGGCUCUCACCAAGAAGUGACAGAAGCCUCAAAACCCAAUAAAGCCAAAUCUCUGAGCAGGGGAGCCAUGAACAGGUACAUCAAGGGGCUGAUGAUAGAGCCUCAGGAUGUGUGACAGGAAGGCCAAUUAGCUUCUGGGGUAUCCGGCCCCAGAGAGGAGGCAGGAGUGUGUGGUGGGCAAGAAUGCAGACUUCAAGGUCAGAUAAAUUUUGGUUCUCAUCUGGACUCCUCUAUUUACUCCCUGGACGGCCCAGGCAAGCUUAGUGAUUUCUCUGAGCCUUGGUUUCCUCUUCCAUACAAUGGGAAUAAUAAUGUUAUUAGUUGUCUAUUGCUGCAUAACAAAUACCACUCCCCGCCCCCCCCCCCCCAAUUUAGUAGCUGAAAACCAUAUAUAUUUAUUGUCUUGCAGAUUUGGGGGGUCAGGUAUCCAGGAGUGGCUUAGCCGAGUCCUCUGCUCGGUGUCUGUUACAGUCAAUGGGCUGCAGUUUCACGCCAAUGUCAUGGGCUGUAGUUUCAUCCGAAGGCUGUGCUGGGGAAGGGCCCACUUCCUAACCCAGGCGCAGGAUGCUGGCAGCGUUCGAUUCCUCCAGGGCUGUCAGACUGAGGGUCUCAGUUCCCCACUGGUGGUUGGCUGCAGGCUGCCCUCAGUUUCUUGCCACGUGGGCCUUUCCAGCUUGCUUCGUCACGAAUUGCCAGAGAGAGGGAGGGCAAAUGAAGUCACAGUGUUUUAUAACCCAGUCCCAGAAGCACGAGGCCAUCACCUUUGCCCUAUUCUGUUAUUAAUCAUGAGAAGCAACUCACCAGCCCACACUCAAGGUGAAGGGAUUGUUACACAAGGUGUUAUUAUGUGACUACCAGGAGAUGGGGAUCAUUGGGAUCCAUCUCAGAAUACAAUAAUAUCUAUUUUGUGGGAACGUCAUAAAGAGUAAAUGAGAGUCUGCACAUAUGUAAUCCUGGCACACAGGAUCUGCUCAAUACAGUGAUUAUUGUUAUUUUGUUGUUGUUGUUGUUCUCAAAGCUGUUCUGGGCUGAGGCUGAGAUAGGACAGAGCCCAACAACCCACCCCAUCUCCACGCAGUCAAAUCCUGUGUAUCCCUGGGCUCACCCCAGUGCUCCAGGAAGCUUUCCCCCAGUCAGCUGUGAACUGUACUUCCUUGAAUGUCCCCUCCUUGUUUGCAGGGAAGGGAGCACCCACCCCUGGCUGGGCUGAUGGUCACGAACACCCCACUAGCAUCGUCUAUCUCAUAGACCUUGGCGGUGGUGGGACUACAAUGUUUGAGGUUUACAGAUUUCUGAGAUAUAGCAGCGGAAGGGUUAUAUAUAUACACAC